GGACAAAUGGGAAAUAUUAAUAAAUAUAAAAGAAAUUGAAUAGAGAAAAACAUAAAUAUGAAAGAUAACGAAGGAGUUGCGCAGCACAUGCUACACAAUCUAAACCGAAUCCAGCAUGACCCACAAGAAAUGAACACGGCAGCCAACCCUCCAUUGCUGGCUAUUAAGAUAAACAAAAGGAUAUUUCUGUAAUUUCAGCCAUUAUAUUAUUUUCAAUCAAAAUAAUCACCAAAUAUAUAUAAAAUAAUAAGAAGAUGCAGCAGCGAUGCUCCGAGUUGGUUUGUGAGGGCGAGAGAGAGGAGAGAAGAAGGUAGAGAAAUCGAGAAAGAAAAGAAGGAAAAGCCAUUUCAGCCAUAGAAAGAGAAAAAGCUAUUGCUUCUUCUACUUCCUCCUCUCUCUUCUCUCUCCUUUCAAAACCCUUGAUUUAUUUUCUCCUUCCUCAAUUCAUUUUUGCCCCCUCUGGUUCCAUAGUUUCAUUUCAUACAUGAGGAGUUGGUUUUGAUCAACCGUUUUGGUGCUGAUUGUGGGUUUUCUUUUUUCUUCUUCUCGCAAUCCACCUCUCCUUUUGUUUUUCAUUUUUAAUUUUAUCUCCUUUAACAACCCAUAUGAGGAGAGGAAAAGGAGCCGCUGCAGCCGCCGUAGCUAAGCAAGUGGUGGAGCCAAACGGAUCAGCACCUCAAAAUAUCACAAAUGGAAAAGAGCCCAGAUACAGAGGAGUCCGAAAAAGACCAUGGGGCAGAUUUGCCGCUGAGAUCAGAGAUCCCUGGAAAAAAACUAGGGUCUGGCUUGGCACGUUCGACACCGCGGAGGAUGCGGCCCGAGCCUACGACGCGGCUGCCCUUUCACUCCGUGGACCCAAGGCCAAAACCAACUUUGUUAUUUCUUCCCCCCAUUUAUCUCCUUUCACCUACCAAAUUCCCACGGACCCUUUGAUGGAUUACAGGGUAUAUUCAGCAAAUGGGUUUGAUGAGCAUCACGUAAAUCCUCAGAGACCCACAUCUAGCAGCCAGAGCAGUACGGUGGAAUCUUUCAGCGGUCCUAGGCUGCCGGCGACAGCAACAGCAACAGCAACAAAAAGAUCGGGGCUUUUGUUGGCGGCGACGGCUCCGAAGAAAAUCCAUCGUCGGACUCCACAGAUAGUGCCGGACGAUUGUCAGAGCGAUUGUGAUUCGUCGUCGUCGGUGGUUGAUGAUGGAGAUAUUGCAUCGUCCUCUUCCUUGUGCUCCCGAAAGCCUUUACCUUUUGAUCUGAAUUUUCCACCGUCGGAUCAGGUUGACUUUGUUGUUGACGAUAUCCACUGUACUGCUCUAUGCCUUUGAUGAUGAUUAGAAAAAAAAAAGAAAACAAAAUUUUUGACAUUAUUAUGCGGAUUGAUGAAAAAAAAAAAAAGAAAUCAGAUUAGGUUAAGAUAAACUAUCUUAAUCUGUAUGAGUAUGCAUGUAUUAUGUUUUCUUGAUGAUCUUAUUGGUCAGAUUAUGAUGGAUUAUUAAGCUACUGGUAACAGAUCCAUCUCUGUAAAUUUUUCUUCAUCUUCUUCCUUAAAUAGAAAGACAUCUACUGCAUAUACAUUUGUGUUUUGUACUACUUUUGCUGCUGCUUUGUUAUUUGCUUGUAUUGUAGCUGGGAGUAAUUAAGAACAUAAUGGCUGUAUCUGGUUUAUUGUUAAUUGGGUUUUCUUUAAUUUUGACAAAGAAUAGA
rnacentral:misc_RNA from 1 species